rnacentral:rRNA from 1 species
UACGUAGGGUGCGAGCGUUGUCCGGAAUUAUUGGGCGUAAAGAGCUUGUAGGCGGUUUGUCGCGUCUGCCGUGAAAAUUCGAGGCUCAACCUCGAACUUGCGGUGGGUACGGGCAGACUAGAGUGUGGUAGGGGAGACUGGAAUUCCUGGUGUAGCGGUGAAAUGCGCAGAUAUCAGGAGGAACACCGAUGGCGAAGGCAGCUUGCUGGGACGGUACUGACGCUGAGAAGCGAAAGCGUGGGGAGCAAACAGG